GUAAAGGAAGGGCAAGAGAGAGGGGAGGGGAGUAGUUAGAGGAGGGGAGGCGGUGGUCUGCGACGCUUUUUAGUCCCCCUUCGGGCAGGGUCUUAGAGUUUUUGGGACGACGACGGGGUCCGCUCGUUACCCCGGCAUCUAGAGGCGGCCUCCCUCGCCUUCCUCCCAGACACCAAGGACCUCGAAGGGCACGACCCUAAGCCGGCCGCUGCCGACGACGACGACCCCUGCUUCACUUUCGAUGGCCAACCGACGAUGACUGGACACUUUCUCUCUUCAAACACUCCGCCGGUCCCACAAACCAAACCAGUUUCUCCUCGAGAGUCACGGGAAUAAAAAGAGGACAUAUGUACCCUACGAACGACACUCGGGGCGACAAACAAGAACCUCUUUUAUCCUGUCACGAGGGUCCUAGACUCAAAACCGGAAACCCGAAUUUUGUUAGAACAGACAAACCAAGCCCCGAACCGAUACCGUCAAAGUCUCUUCCGCCAUGCUGGUACGAGUAGCAGAAGCAGCCCAAACCUGGGCGACAACUUCCUAGAAUGCCUCUUCUUCGACUCGAAAUCUUCUUUGCACCGUAGAGACCGCAGACUCGAUUUCCUACACUCCGUGUUCGAACGAAGCGUCCUCGUCAACAAAUGAUCCCUUAGGGUUUGAUCCCUCCAACGCCUCUGCUUCCGUUCCUCGUACCUCCUCCUUCACUCAUUCGACGUCUUUACGAAUGACCUGUUUCUACUCGUCGAUUUACGUUGCUCUCCGUAGUGGCUUGUAAUGGAGCUACUAAACCUACUAGAAUUUAGUGCUGAUAGUCAUUGAGUUCGAUGUCGUCUUCGGUCACGACGUAGUCGGUACAGCCGAGUCCGCGUCACGAACAGUAACGACUUUCUCGACUUACUCUUCCUAGCGAGCAACUUUCUCGUGCUCGAAGCUCAAUUGUUCGAACCGCUCGUCGAUCCAGAAGAGGUCUUCCUGGAACUCCGUUCCCUCGAAAGUGUCUCCGUUGAGUUCCUACUUCAAAAUUCCUAACUCUGUCUAUAGUACCCACGUCAAAGGUCUCGACCCAGAUCAUUUCUAUUGCUCGAAGACUUCCAAAAUAGACUACAAAGUGGUUCCUUAUAGCUCUUAUAACCGUUCGUAAACUUAUGAUUCCUAUGUCUCUAACGGUCCGACUCUCUACUUUAAUCCUAUAAUAGACGAGUAACCUGUUUGUUUUGUUUCCUUGAUCUCAGUGUUGAUCUCUUCGUCGCGUCUUGGCUGGUCCUUGACUUUUUUUCCCAAGAGUUUGAACUUAAGACGGAAGUUCUUAGUGCUAGAGUUUAGGCUUUUGAAGUCUCCAACCCCCUCUUCUCCCUGUUCGUUGAGUUCCUCGAGUUCCUAGUCUACCGGUACUUCGUCGGGCUGCCGGGAGCGGCGCUGCUUCCGUUCUUCGGGAAGACCCUCUUACUAUGCAAGUUCAAACAGCGGCCGUACAGCUACGACCAGCACUACCAGGAGCGUUUCGCGACUCUUGUCGCAGUAGAACACAUCUCUUCAAUACAAUCCACUCGUUGAUCGAGCGAGACAUCAAAAUUCUUCGGUCAGUACAUGACCUCAUCGCAACAUUUUAAUCCAAAUCCGGACCUGUACGACGUACCAGUCUACAAGUCUCUGGUCUUAAGCAGCUGCAGGUCCAAAUCAGGAGAUCUGGCAUCGUCACAUCGAGUCGACGAUCAAGUACACACCAUCAAUUGACAUUAGGACAUGAAUAGGAUACUACAAAUCAUGAUGAGAAAUCGUAGAUGAUAAGGAGAUUAAAUUCUCCAAAUCAUGAGAAGUCGUAGAUGGUGAAGGAG
rnacentral:rRNA from 1 species